ensembl:lncRNA
UCUCUUAGUCCUAUCAGCGUCUCGGGUACCUGUCUUGUCUGUCUCUUAGUCCUAUCAGCGUCUCGGGUACCUGUCUUGUCUCUCUGUCCUAUCAGCGUCUCGGGUACCUGUCUGUCUCUCUGUCCUAUCAGCGUCUCGGGUACCUGUCUUGUCUGUCUCUUAGUCCUAUCAGCGUCUCGGGUACCUGUCUGUCUCUCUGUCCUAGCUGCGUCUCUGGUACCUGUCUUGUCUGUCUCUUAGUCCUAUCAGCGUCUCGGAUGACGAGGACAGCAGCAGCAGUGAGGAGGUCAGUGAUGUCUUCACAUCAUCUACAGAGAGACGAGUCAGUGUAAUACUAACGGUGUCUGUACCCGUCUGUCUCUCUGUACCCGUCUGUCUGUACUUGACUGUGUUCAGAGUGAGCUGGGUCUGUCUCCGUCAACGGAUUCGUGUCUUCAGAUGAACCUCGUCUACCAGCAAGUGGUUCAAGAGACGCUAGACCAGUUGGAGACACUUCUGACACACAACCACAGACAACAGGUCAGCACUGACACAUCACAUUACAUUACAUCACAUCACAUUACAUCACAUUACAUUACACUAC